CUUUUCCUUUCUUUCCGAAAUGCACCUAUGACAGUAGCUAGACCUAUAGUUGUCAACAAUGUACGUAUUAUAAUAUGUCUAAUCCAAAAAUAGAUAAUAAUUGCACUGUUUAUUUUAGAAAAACAGCACCAAUUACAGGUGUAUAAAGGAAUAGCAUCACCCAAUAGAGUGUAGACAGCAACCCACAUAAAUAUUAUUUACUCGCAAUAUUGCUGAUUUCAUACACACUUUCCUCGCUAUAUUUGGGUAUUUACAUUGCUAUAUGUCAAUUGGAUCACGCGCUCGUCCUUUUCCAUAACCGGUAAGAAGACUCGGACGUGGAUUGGCGCAAGGAUUGCAUCAAAUCGAUACAUUUCUUCGUUGGAAGUGCGCCUGUGGAUGAGAUUAAAAAGCCAGAACUGAAUCCCUGUAUAAUGUGUUAUUUAUAUUUUCGCCACAGAUUCAGUUUUGGUAUCAUUAACGUCUUAUUUAGUGUUGCAAAAUUGGGAAAAUUUCAAAAUCGAUCAUAAGUGGAAGAACUGUUUCGAUCAAUGAUCGAUAUAAUCAGUAUUUACAUGUAGUUAAUAAUGUUUAUUAUUUUUGGAGUUAUUUCUAUUUAGUUUUAUGGAUAUGUGCAGUAAAUACACAUUAGCUGGUGUCACUGAAUUCCCAAUUUUCAAUGUGGAGUCCGAUUCGUGUUAAAGUAUGAAAUAAAAAGACGUAUCUUUAUAGAGUUAAAAGUGUAAAUUUUUGUACAAUUACACACACCACACACAACAAAAUGCACAAUGAAAAUAAAAUGUGAUAAUAUAUUUAUAUAUAAUAUUGGGGGGGGCAAGUUGUCUCAAGAAAAGGGGCGACUUGUCCUGAGAGAGGGCGAAUGAGGAACCGGAGUCGGUUAUCUUAUCUUGUAUUGAUAGAGAGCGCCACAGGCAAAUCCGGCCCUGAACAAAAAAAAAAGAUAAAUGUUGAGAAGAUGGGUUAUCAGCAACCAUUCUCGAAUGCGAUUUCAGAAAACACAAACACUACCUUUUACUUACGAUGGCAUCCAGUUGUGGUCAUAUGACAAUACCUGAACUUAGGAAAGAGUUAGAAAAGUUUGGAGCAAAGAAAUUGGGAAGAAAGUGGUAACUUGUAAGAAGACUUAAUUGAAGCAUAUAGAAGAAAUGAACAUCGUGCAAGGACCGAUAUUUCUGGACCUUAAUUUAUUAUGAUGUCACCCGAUCCACAACUCUACAGGGAUCUUCAUUGUGAUAAGAGCUUUUCAAAUGAAAAGGAAUGACAAAUUCAUUGACGAGAUGAAGAGAAAUUUUAAUGAAUUUUAUGAAAGAUAUUUUAAGUCUGCUCUGUUAGAGAAAACGUUUUUCAAGACAUACGAUGGUAAAUGUACAUGGAAUAAAUGUUUAAAAAAUUAAAUAAA